GAUGAACGCUGGCGGCGUGCCUAAUACAUGCAAGUCGAGCGAACAGACGAGGAGCUUGCUCCUCUGACGUUAGCGGCGGACGGGUGAGUAACACGUGGAUAACCUACCUAUAAGACUGGGAUAACUUCGGGAAACCGGAGCUAAUACCGGAUAAUAUAUUGAACCGCAUGGUUCAAUAGUGAAAGACGGUUUUGCUGUCACUUAUAGAUGGAUCCGCGCCGCAUUAGCUAGUUGGUAAGGUAACGGCUUACCAAGGCAACGAUGCGUAGCCGACCUGAGAGGGUGAACGGCCACGCUGGAACUGAGACACGAUCCAGACUCCUACGGGAGGCAGCAGUAGGGAAUCUUCCGCAAUGGGCGAAAGCCUGACGGAGCAACGCCGCGUGAGUGAUGAAGGUCUUCGGAUCGUAAGACUCUGUUAUUAGGGAAGAACAAAUGUGUAAGUGACUAUGCACGUCUUGACGGUACCUAAUCAGAAAGCCACGGCUAACUACGUG
rnacentral:rRNA from 1 species